rnacentral:rRNA from 1 species
AUACGUAGGGCGCAAGCGUUGUCCGGAAUUAUUGGGCGUAAAGAGCUCGUAGGCGGUUUGUCACGUCUGCUGUGAAAACCCGAGGCUCAACCUCGGGCUUGCAGUGGGUACGGGCAGACUAGAGUGCGGUAGGGGAGACUGGAAUUCCUGGUGUAGCGGUAAAAUGCACAGAUAUCAGGAGGAACACCGAUGGCGAAGGCAGGUCUCUGGGCCGCAACUGACGCUGAGGAGCGAAAGCGUGGGUAGCAAACAGGAUUAGAUACCCUGGUAGUCCACGCCGUAAACGUUGGGCACUAGGUGUGGGGCUCAUUCCACGAGUUCCGCGCCGUAGCUAACGCAUUAAGUGCCCCGCCUGGGGAGUACGGCCGCAAGGCUAAA